CCCCUACGGGGCGCAGCAGUGAGGAAUAUUGGUCAAUGGUCGGGAGACUGAACCAGCCAAGCCGCGUGAGGGAGGAAGGUACAGAGUAUCGUAAACCUCUUUUGUCAGGGAACAAAGACUGGGACGCGUCCCCGGAUGAGUGUACCUGAAGAAAAAGCAUCGGCUAACUCCGUGCCAGCAGCCGCGGUAAUACGUAGGGGGCAAGCGUUAUCCGGAUUUACUGGGUGUAAAGGGAGCGUAGACGGCAUUGCAAGUCUGAUGUGAAAGAUUGGGGCUCAACCCCAGGCCUGCAUUGGAAACUGUAA
rnacentral:rRNA from 1 species